CUCAAGUUUGUGUCCCUGCUGUAUAUGUGGACAAAAAACCAUUUAUGUGAUUUAGGUGGGGUUCCGAUGAGUUUAGCAAUGCCCAUAAAGAACCCACAUUACAUGA